AGGUAAACCAAUUUGUGCACAACUUUUGAGCGAAAUAAGCUUUGUGUGUGCAUGGAACAUUCUGGGAUCUUAUAUACUAUAUUCAGCUCAUGAAACAUGGGACCAACACUUUACAUGCUGCGUUAAUAUUUUUGUUCAGUAUAGCUAGUCUGACAAGACAGCAGGCAGGGCACUAGGGCGUGAAGGAAGUUGUCCUGGACUGGGGUGUCAGAAGCCUGUCCACAGUCAUUGCAUUUCCCUGUUUGCCUUCUUUUUAUGUUUGUGACCCCUGACCCAUGCCACGCCAGCCAUAACCUGGUAAUGUAGCACAUCCCUGGGGCCGAACCUGAGCUUGUCCUCCUCAACCACUACUACGAAGAGCUUGACUGCAUCGCCCUAUCUGACAUGGCCUGCUCUGAGAAUAGCUGCUGGAGAAGUUGGGCUUCUACAAGAAGGCUCAGCCUGAGGAUGAGGUCCCAGUGGUGUUCUGCUUCUCCCCGCCAAGCACAGCCCCUUCAAAAGCACCCCCAAGUCCCCGUCCUCCCCCUCCUCAGCCCCCACAGACAACGCUUCCUCAGAGUCCGACGCAGAGGCCAAACACUCUGACCUAUAACCCUCACAGCAGUAAAGAGGAGUGUGUACCUGGACAGACAGGCCUACUCUCCCCCAGGUCUGGUCCAAGACCAGUUUGUUUCUGCAUCUCAUAACAGAAAUGUUUGGGAUCAGAAUGACAGGCAGGUCCUGGAUUAGCACUUGGGGGAGCAUCAGCAUAGGUUUUGAAGGUCACACUAAAAUUGAUUUACCACAAAGUGUCAAGUAUGGGGUCUCUCUGCUGAUCUCGUGUGUAAAAUGACUUCCUGUACACUGUGGAACUGAAUGACGCCUCGAGCUGUAAAACCUCCUGGUUGGCUUGUGGCUGAUGUAACGUGUCCAGGUGUGUGGGGCUUAGGCACAAGGGGAUUCAAGUGAAGGGGAUGACAAAU
rnacentral:lncRNA from 1 species